ACUGGUGAAGGUUUUAAGUUUUACUUUGGUAGACAUUGUGCUCAUGGAAUAGUCUUUCUCAGUUGACCAAGAUCUACUUUGUUACAUCUUUGAGGAAUAACUCAGCUCAAAACUGAAGUUUACAACUCCACUUCUCCAUUUACCAUACAGGGAGCAUCACAUAAUGCUAAAUAUCUGUGCAGGUGUUUCCUUUCAACCCAUAGCUCAUCCUAAAAAAGACUCAAGAGGAAGCACCUGUGAACAUACAAGAUUUUAGACUUGCAGAUUAAAAGGAAGGACUAAUGGAUUUUGCAAUAAGCAUCUUUGUCUCCUAAGAAUUCUUGAGCAAGUUAACUCUUUUCUUUCCCAGACUCUUUAUAGGAUCAAGAAUCUCCUUUGUUUUGAGAUGCUAUCCAGAAUAAAGCCAAAUGCCUUCAAGCACUCUGGGUGCAUGUGUGUGUCUGGUUCUCAAAGUAAGGAGCUGACUUAAUGAUAUGAUUUAACUGUAGUAUGGCACAAGUACUCACCAGCUGCACAGGUUCUUCUGGUCACCUCGUAAGUCUUUGUUGGAAGAAAUGCUAUCUUGUCUACAUAGCUGAAGUUACUGAAGCACAUGGAAGACUAAAACCUUUCUGUAUGUUGAAUGUAUCAGCAAGAGGAGAGAGCUGCCAGUAGAGUGAAGAACAUCUGCAUUUCUAAAUCAUGGAAAUUAAUCACAGACUAGCUGACAUCAGAAAGCACCUCUAAAGGUCACCUAGCCUGUGUCCUACUCGGCAUGGGGUCUGCUAGAGCAGAUUGCUUCUAGACAUGAGCAGUUGAGUCUGGAAUUCAUCCCAAUAGUGUGAGAAAAAUAAAUGUUAUGAAUUUUUAA